UUUCAGACUCAAGCUUUACACAGCUGUCCUUACUUCCUAACAUCUUUCUGAUAACAUUAUUAUGUUGCCUUCUUGUUUCUCACUUUGAUAUUUAAAAGAUGUUCAAUACACUGUUUGAAUGUGCUGGUAACUGCUUUGCUUCUUGAGUAGAGCCACCACCACCAUAGCCCAGCCAGAUGAGUGCUCUGUGGACCCACAGC
rnacentral:lncRNA from 1 species